rnacentral:rRNA from 1 species
GUGCGUAACGCGUAUACAAUCUGCCUUUCACUGGGGGAUAGCCCGAAGAAAUUUGGAUUAAUACCCCAUAGUAUAGUAGUGUGGCAUCACACAACUAUUAAAGCUUAGGUGGUGAAAGAUGAGUAUGCGUUCUAUUAGCUAGUUGGAGAGGUAACGGCUCCCCAAGGCGAUGAUAGAUAGGGGUUCUGAGAGGGAUGUCCCCCACACUGGUACUGAGAUACGGACCAGACUCCUACGGGAGGCAGCAGUGAGGAAUAUUGGACAAUGGUCGGAAGACUGAUCCAGCCAUGCCGCGUGCAGGAUGACGGCCUUAUGGGUUGUAAACUGCU